UCCGCCCGCUGGCGGCGUGCUUAACACAUGCAAGUCGAACGAAAAGGUCUGCUUUCCCUUGUGGAUUGCGGGUACUCGAGUGGCGAACGGGUUAGUAACACGAGAGUGAUCUGCCCCCAACUUGUGUAUAAGCCUGGGAACCUCGGUCUAAUUCCCGAUAGGACUUCAGGGUGGUGCCUGUGGUGGAGAACGAUUUUCUAGUGAUUGGGGAUGAGCUCGCGGCCUAUCAGCUUGUUGGUGGGGUAAUGGCGUACCAAGGCGGCGACGGGUAGCCGGCCUGAGAGGCUGGAGGGGCACAGUGGGAAUGAGAAACGACACAGACUCCUACGGGAGGCAGCAGCGGGGAAUAUUGGACGAUGGGGGGAAGAGUGGAGCAUAGACGCAGGGCGGGGGAUGACGGCCUUCGGGUUUUAUACUCCCUUCGAGGGCGAAAAAGUCACCUGCUUGGGAGGGUGGUGACGGUAGUGGUAGAAGAAGCACCGGCUAACUACGUG
rnacentral:rRNA from 1 species